CUGUUUGAAUAAAAAAACUUUUAAUAAGAUAAACCCAGAAGAGAUUACUAUAUUUGGAAAAGCAUGAUUUUCAUCUAGUGCCUGUUGAAAUUGUUGUUCCCAGACCAAAAAUAAUCAUAUUCACCAUUUUGAUGCUAGUCUUGCUUCUCUAAAAUUACUUUUAGUGAGAGAUUGAGAAAGAAGAGAAACAAAAUCUACAAGGACAGAGAACAGUGAAGGAGAAGCUAUGCUGACGUUCCCCAAGAGAGGCAUUAGGUGAAGAUUUCAGCAAUAUGAGACAGGAUUUCAUCCAUGGAGAGUGAAUUUGAGGCAACCAUUGAGAUCUUGGGAGUCAAGAUGACAUCAGAACCAUGACUAGGUGGUGAUGAUGAAAGGUUUGCUCACCAGUGGUAAUGGAAUUGAUGCUUUUGGUGGAUGAUAUUGGCAUGAAGGUUGUUGAAUUUUGACUUAGUAUUUGCUGGAAUUUGAAUUUUGAAUAUUGCAGCUGGAGUCUUGCACAAAAUCUGCAACAUCUAGAUAUUUUCUUCUUUUUAUUUGGUCAAGAUUUGGUUUCUAUUUUAUAGGAAGUAGUUGUUCAUCAUCUAGUAGCUUGAUUUUCUGCUAUUCUAAUGUCAUUUAAGUUACAAGUUCAUGUAUAAAUUCAGCAUUCUUCAUCAAUAAAAUUAGAGCUCCGGCAGACCAAAAAUAUAUAUUCGGUAUAAGUAUUUAAUCUUAUACCAACAAAGUGGUAUCAGAGCCAUAGUUAUCUUGAGGGGCCAGUGAGGUGAGUGAACCCAAACACCUUCUAAAAUCAUUUAGCAAUGGAAGAGUCAAGUCUCACAGUUGCACCAUCAAUUCUUGAUGGAGACAAUUAUGAAACUUGGGCUGUUAGAAUGACAGUUCAUCUACAAGCACUUGAUGUUUGGGAAGCAGUGGAAGAAAAUUAUGAAGUUCCUCCCCUAGGAGCCAAUCCAACUGUGGCUCAAAUGAAGUUGCAUAAAGAAAGAAGGACAAGAAAGGCUAAAGCGAAAGCUUGCUUGUUUGCUGCAGUUUCACCAUCAAUUUUCAUCAAAAUCAUGAAAAUUGAUUCAGCUGCAGAAAUUUGGGAGUAUCUCAAGGAGGAAUACAAAGGAGAUGAAAGAAUCAAGAACAUGCAGGUGAUGAACUUGAUUCGAGAAUUUGAAAUGAAGAAAAUGAGGGAGUCUGAUGCUGUUAAAGACUAUGCUGCACAACUUCUUUCAAUAGCAGACAAAGUUAGGCUGCUUGGAAAAGAAUUUUCCAAUGAGAAGAUUGUUCAAAAGAUAUUGGUUACACUUCCUGAGAAAUAUGAAGCUACAAUUUCCUCUUUGGAGAAUUCAAAAGAUCUGUCAACUAUUAGCUUGACAGAAUUAUUACAUUCCUUGGAGGCUGUGGAACAAAGAAGACUCAUGAGACAAGGAGAUACUGCAGAAGGAGCAUUUCAAGCAAGAAUGCAGAAAAAUGCAGGCCAUAAAAAUGGAAAGGUGAACAACAACAAGUCGUGUGGCAACAACCAGAAAAAUGGAGUUUUUCCACCUUGUCCUCAUUGCAAGAAGACAAAUCAUUCUCCACAAAAAUGUUGGUGGAGACCAGAUGUGAAAUGCAACAAGUGUGGUAAACAAGGACAUGUGGAGAGGAUUUGCAAAAAUCAACAGCAGGAAGAAACUAAUGCAGUAGUUGACUAUUGUCAGGAGGAGCAAUUGUUUGCAGCAACGUGUUUUGCUAAUAAAAGCACCUCUAAAAGCUGGCUUGUGGAUAGUGGUUGUACAAACCACAUGACAAAUAAUCAAGAUCUCUUUAGAGAACUUGAUAGAACAAUUAUUUCCAAAGUCAGAAUUGGAAAUGGUGAGUAUAUUCCAGUGAAGGGCAAAGGAACGGUUGCUAUCGAAAGCCAAACAGGUUUGAAACUCAUUUAUGAUGUUUUGUUUGUGCCUGACAUUGACCAAAACUUACUCAGUGUUGGACAGCUCGUUGAGAAAGAAUUUAAAGUUUAUUUUGAAGAUAGGAAUUGCAUUAUCAAGGAUGCUGAAGGCAAAGAGGUGUUCAACAUAAAAAUGAAGGGCAAGAGUUUUGCCUUGAAUUUACUGGAAGAUGAGCAUACUGCUAUUUUACAACAAGAUAGCACAACAAUGUUUUGGGACAGAAAGGUCGAGCACUUUCAUCAUGAUGAUGUGCUCUACAUGAAGAAAAAUCAAAUAGCUGAAGGACUUCCUGACUUAGAAAAAGAUCUUCCUAUAUGUGCUACUUGUCAAUAUGGGAAGCAAACUAAACUUCCCUUUCCAAAGAAAAUAUCCUGGAGAGCAACCCAAAAACUGCAACUGGUGCAUACUGAUGUUGGUGGAUCUCAAAAAAUGCCAUCCUUGAAAUGGAAUGCAAACAAUGUUUGGUGGAUCUCAAAAAAUGUCAUCCUUGAAAUGGAAUGCAAACAAUUUUGGGCUAAAACUGCAAGUAGAGCAGUAUAUUUUCUGAACAUAUUGCCAACAAAAGUGUUAAAGAAGCAGACCCCUUUCGAAGUUUGGUUUGAGUGUCUACGUGCAAGACUUGGAGUUUGCAUCUACGAAGUCAAGGAGGAGUGUUGAAUUUUGACUUAGUAUUUGCUGGAAUUUGAAUUUUGAAUAUUGCAGCUGGAGUCUUGCGCAAAAUCUGCAACAUCUAGAUAUUUUCUUCUUUUUAUUUGGUCAAGAUUUGGUUUCUAUUUUAUAGGAAGUAGUUGUUCAUCAUCUAGUAGCUUGAUUUUCUGCUAUUCUAAUGUCAUUUAAGUUACAAGUUCAUGUAUAAAUUCAGCAUUCUUCAUCAAUAAAAUUAGAGCUCCGGCAGACCAAAAAUAUAUAUUCGGUAUAAGUAUUUAAUCUUAUACCAACAAAGGUGAUCAAUUACAGAGGUGAUAAUGGAUUGUGGCAAUAACUGUGAUGAUAGAAAAAUGGCAGUGGCACAGGUGACAGUGCACAGGAUUGACAUCAAUGUGACUCUUUGAUAGUUAUAAUGAUAACAAAGACAACCACAAUGAUAAAGGAAUGGUAAGUGGUAGGUGAUUAGUAAUUUAC
rnacentral:lncRNA from 1 species